UGGGGAAUAUUGCACAAUGGGCGCAAGCCUGAUGCAGCCAUGCCGCGUGUAUGAAGAAGGCCUUCGGGUUGUAAAGUACUUUCAGCGAGGAGGAAGGCGUUGUGGUUAAUAACCGCAGCGAUUGACGUUACUCGCAGAAGAAGCACCGGCUAACUCCGUGCCAGCAGCCGCGGUAAUACGGAGGGUGCAAGCGUUAAUCGGAAUUACUGGGUGUAAAGCGCACGCAGGCGGUCUGUCAAGUCGGAUGUGAAAGCCCCGGGCUCAACCUGGGAACUGCAUCCGAAACUGGCAGGCUAGAGUCUUGUAGAGGGGGGUAGAAUUCCAGGUGUAGCGGUGAAAUGCGUAGAGAUCUGGAGGAAUACCGGUGGCGAAGGCGGCCCCCUGGACAAAGACUGACGCUCAGGUGCGAAAGCGUGGGGAGCAAACA
rnacentral:rRNA from 1 species